UGCCAGCCGCCGCGGUAAUACAGAGGGUGCAAACGUUGCUCGGAAUUAUUGGGCGUAAAGCGCGUGUAGGCGGCUAUUUAGGUCGGCUGUGAAAGCCCUCAGCUCAACUGGGGAAGUGCAGCCGAAACCGGAUAGCUUGAGUCCUGAAGAGGGUGGCGGAAUGCCCAGUGUAGGGGUGAAAUCCGCAGAUAUUGGGUAGAACACCGGUGGCGAAGGCGGCCACCUGGGAAGGUACUGACGCUGAGACGCGAAAGCGUGGGGAGCAAACAGGAUUAGAUA
rnacentral:rRNA from 1 species